GAUGAACGCUGGCGGCAUGCGUAAUACAUGCAAGUCGAACGAGAGGAAGGAAAGCUUGCUUUUCUGAAUCUAGUGGCGAACGGGUGAGUAACACGUAGGUAACCUGCCCAUGUGCCCGGGAUAACUUCUGGAAACGGAUGCUAAAACCGGAUAGGUAGCAGACAAGCAUUUGACUGCUAUUAAAGUGGCUAAGGCCAUGAACAUGGAUGGACCUGCGGUGCAUUAGCUAGUUGGUGAGGUAACGGCCCACCAAGGCGACGAUGCAUAGCCGGCCUGGGAGGGCGGACGUCCACAUUGGGACUGCGACACGUCCCAAGCUCCUACGGGAGGCAGCAGUAGGGAAUUUUCGUCAAAGAGGGGAACCCUGAACGAGCAAUGCCGCGUGGGUGAGGAAGGUCUUCCGAUCGUAAAGCUCUGUUGUAAGAGAAAAACGACAUUCAUAGGGAAUGAUGAGUGAGUGAUGGUAUCUUACCAGAAAGUCACGGCUAACUACGUGCCAGCAGCCGCCGUAA
rnacentral:rRNA from 1 species